GUACAAUGAUCAUGUGAUGGCAAUCACUCCAGCCAGCCUGGGACUAUGGAGUAGAAGUUGCAUAGGAAUAUUCCCAGCUGGAACUGGGCUUGAUUUUAACUUUUGGAUGAUUCCCGCGAAUGCCAAAGACAGGCACUUUUCAUCAGUCAAUCUCAAAACCCUUUACCAAAGAGUGAUCAAGCCCCAGCCAUUGUGAUAAUUCCAAGACGGUGAGAACUCCCAUCUGAAAUCUUCUUUCGGUAUAAAAAUGAAUCAUUUCCUGCCACGUGAAUAUGCCUGUUUUACUUCAGUCCUU